GACGAACGCUGGCGGCGUGCCUAAUACAUGCAAGUAGAACGCACAGUUUAUACCGUAGCUUGCUACACCAUUAACUGUGAGUUGCGAACGGGUUAUUAACGCGUAGGUAACCUGCCUUGUAUCGUGUGAUAACUAUUGUUAACGAUAUCUAUUACCGCAUCAUCUUUAUUAUUGCUUGAUUAUUUAUUUAAUUUUGCUAUUUCAUCACUACCUGAUGGUCCUGCGUUGUAUUAGCUAGUAGGGGAGGUAAAGGCUCACCUAGGCGAGGAUACAUAUCCGACCUGAGAGGGGGGUCGGCAAAACUGGGAAGGGGAAACGGACCAGACGCAUAAGGGAGGCAGCAGUAGGGAAUCUUCGGAAAUGGACGAAAGUCAGACCGAGCAACGACGAGGGAGGGAAGAAGGGUUUCGGAUCGUAAAGCUCUGUUGUAAGAGAAGAACGGGUGUGAGAGUGGAAAGUUCACAAUGUGACGGUAUCUUACCAGAAAGGGACGGCUAACUACGUG
rnacentral:rRNA from 1 species